rnacentral:rRNA from 1 species
CUACGGGUGGCAGCAGUGGGGAAUAUUGCGCAAUGGGCGAAAGCCUGACGCAGCGACGCCGCGUGAGGGAUGAAGGUCUUCGGAUUGUAAACCUCUUUCAGCAGGGACGAAGCGAAAGUGACGGUACCUGCAGAAGAAGCACCGGCUAACUACGUGCCAGCAGCCGCGGUAAUACGUAGGGUGCAAGCGUUGUCCGGAUUUAUUGGGCGGAAAGAGCUCGUAGGCGGUUAGACACGUCGGAUGUGAAAACUGGGGGCUCAACUCCCAGCCUGCAUUCGAUACGGUCUGACUAGAGUGUGGUAGGGGUAACUGGAAUUCCUGGUGUAGCGGUGAAAUGCGCAGAUAUCAGGAGGAACACCGAUGGCGAAGGCAGGUUACUGGGCCACCACUGACGCUGAGGAGCGAAAGCGUGGGGAGCAAACAGGAUUAGAUACCCGGGUAGUC